rnacentral:rRNA from 1 species
GACGAACGCUGGCGGCGUGCCUAAUACAUGCAAGUAGAACGCACAGUUUAUACCGUAGCUUGCUACACCAUAGACUGUGAGUUGCGAACGGGUGAGUAACGCGUAGGUAACCUGCCUGGUAGCGGGGGAUAACUAUUGGAAACGAUAGCUAAUACCGCAUAAUAUUAAUUAUUGCAUGAUAAUUGAUUGAAAGAUGCAACUGCAUCACUACCAGAUGGACCUGCGUUGUAUUAGCUAGUAGGUGAGGUAACGGCUCACCUAGGCGACGAUACAUAGCCGACCGGAGAGGGUGAGCGGCCACACUGGGACUGAGACACGGCCCAGACGCCUACGGGAGGCAGCAGUAGGGAAUCUUCGGCAAUGGACGAAAGUCUGACCGAGCAACGCCGCGGGAGUGAAGAAGGUUUUCGGAUCGUAAAGCUCUGUUGUAAGAGAAGAACGGGUGUGAGAGUGGAAAGUUCACACUGUGACGGUAACUGACCAGAAAGGGACGGCUAACUACGUG